rnacentral:rRNA from 1 species
UACGAGGGGGGCAAGCGUUGUUCGGAAUUAUUGGGCGUAAAGGGUGCGUAGGCGAUUUUGUAAGUCUUGUGUGAAAUCUUCAGGCUCAACUUGAAGACUGCACGAGAAACUGCAGGGCUUGAGUGUGGGAGAGGUGAGUGGAAUUCCUGGUGUAGCGGUGGAAUGCGCAGAUAUCAGGAGGAACACCGAUGGCGAAGGCAGCUCGCUGGGACGGUACUGACGCUGAGGCGCGAAAGCGUGGGGAGCGAACAGG